rnacentral:misc_RNA from 1 species
AAGUCGUAACAAGGUCUCCGUAGGUGAACCUGCGGAGGGAUCAUUACAGAGUUCGUGCCCCUCGGGGUAGAUCUCCCACCCUAUGCCUACAUACCUUUGUUGCUUUGGCAGGCCCGUCCAGCCCCCGCGCUAGACCGCCGGCUCCGGCUGGCGAGCGCCUGCCAGAGGACCCCAAACUCUGAGUGUUAGUGAUGUCUGAGUACUAUACAAUAGUUAAAA